UACGAAGGGGGGCUAGCGUUGUUCGGAAUCACUGGGCGUAAAGCGCACGUAGGCGGAUCUUUAAGUCAGAGGUGAAAUCCCAAGGCUCAACCUUGGAACUGCCUUUGAUACUGGGGAUCUUGAGUCCGGGAGAGGUGAGUGGAACUGCGAGUGUAGAGGUGAAAUUCGUAGAUAUUCGCAAGAACACCAGUGGCGAAGGCGGCUCACUGGCCCGAUACUGACGCUGAGGCACGAAAGCGUGGGGAGCAAACAGG
rnacentral:rRNA from 1 species